UUUCAGACCCGCCCUCCUGUUCGCAGGGACCCAUUUCGGAGCCCUAGCUCACUCUGGGCGGGAACCAGCGUGACGAAUUCCGCCCAAAGUGUUGAUUACGCAUCCCAGUCCAGCCUCUGGCUCGCCUCCCACCUUCACCUCGGCUCCCACAGCCCCCCACCACGCCCCUACUCCGGGCCGAGCGCUCGGGACGGCACCCCCGAACCCCCACCCGACCGUGCCCCGCGCUGCAGCUGCGGAAAGGCGCCAGCGUGCUCGGUGCCACGUCGGAAUUGGCUCCCAGGGCAUUGCAGCUGCCUGUGCGCAGCGCGCGGUCCCCACGCAAGCCCUGCCCCGGGGCGGCCCAGGAGUAGAGAGAAGGGAUGCGCGCCCUCCUCCCACUCGGGCCUUCGGGUGCCGCUGCCUGGGUCAGGGACCUCUGGCCGUAGCAAGGCUUCCAGAGCCGGGCUGAGGCGGGACAGACCCAGCCUGACACUUUAAUGGGGUGCUGGGAGUGCAAAGGAGGGGAGGCGAGGGAAAAAAGGGGAGUGGCCGAAUGAGGCCGGUAGCUGCUAGGAGGUGGCGAAGGACCCUCCUCCUCCCGGGCCGGAGCUGGGACCCCCGGAUCGCUUUAACCCUUUGCAUUCCAAAACACUGUGGAAAGAGCUAUUGUUAUCUCCAUCUUCCAGAAGAGGAAAUACGGCUGAGAAAGAUUAAGACUGAACAUCUCAACCGACUGGGAGUUCUGGAUUUCAAGUUCAGAACCUGUGAUAUCUGACGAUCGAACCAAAUAAAGGAGCGUGUCCCUGUUUGCAAGGCUAGUUUUUCUCGUCCCUCCCUUGAGGUGCUGUGUUUGAAGUGUUUCUCAGGCUGAAGAGAUGAAGGGAAAGCUCCCAGUUAUCUUCAAGUUACCUAACCUCAGGGGCUUAUCAGCUGGCCCUGUUUGAUAGCUCUACGGUCCUAAACAGUAAGCUGGACGCUUUAUAGCUGCCUCGCAAAUCAUCACUUGUGAAAACUGGAAACGGGAUAGAGAAAAUUAUCUUUUUCCUAAGAGAUAAGCAAAAGUUCUAAGAAGCUCAUCAGUUGAAGAGCACUUCAGAGCACAUCUUAAGGAUCCUCGGAAAUCCGCAUUCCAGCGUGGCUCUUCAGAUCUACGAGGCCAGAUCUGAAGGGAACACGUGCAGCCUGCUUUCUCUCCUCCACACUCAACCGAUAAUGCAGAAAUGCUCGAGUCAAAGAAACUGGCGACAUGCCUGUCUCAGGCUGUGUCAGAACUGGGAAGUGGGAAGAAGCAAUUCAGAGGGUCAAGAUAUAAUCUAGGUUCAAGCUGGACCAGGCCUUCCGGCAGAUCCAGGCUCAGCCAGAGUCUAGACGUGGCAGCCAAGUUUCCAUCAGCCUUGCUGUAAUUAACGUGUGCACAGUCAUUUCUCAGUAAGAGAAUGUGAAACCAAACCAGAAGGUAACUAGCUGUUAGACUUCGGGUUUCAUUUCUGGGUAAAUCAGUAGUCGUCUCACAGAGGCAUUCUUUCUGUGUAUAAUCUCCAAACAGUUAGAACAAAUGGAAUGAAAUAAGAGAAGGUGUGUUAGCAACUGCUCUUAAAUUUCCCCUGGUCAUCAGGAUCUGUCUCCGUUUGGGUUUUAAACUCUGUAAAGUAGCAGUUGCCAUGUUCAACUUUAGAUAACCCCAUAAAUCCGGAAAUAGCUAAUGUGAUUCAUCUGGGAAUCAGUUAUGGCCAUGAUCUGGGUCCAAAUGUUGGGUUUAUAGUCAUACCUAUUCCAAGGGCUGUGCUCUGUGAAAGGAGACAAGUUGUAAUCUCCGCAAACCUGAGUCACUGCUCCUUAGCUACAUGAAGCCUGUGAUCUGUCCUGAUUUUGGAGCUGGUCCGUCUUUUAGGUUCCUGGCCAAAUCUGGACCACCAGAGCGGGUGUGAGGGUGGGAGUGAAGGAAGGGAUGAAGGUCUGCUCAUUGAGAUGAGUAAAAAGUGGAUCAUCCAUUAGUGAGAAGAACUUUAAAGGUUACAAAAUUACAAACAUCCCAACAAAUGACUUAUGUAAGGCUCCUUUGUGAUAUAAAGCCGGGGGUAAUUUUUUGUGUGUGAAGAUGAAAGAUAGGGGAAGUUCUAGCAAAGUUGACACAUCUUCCCACCCCCACACAUCCUCUUCUUCAGAAAUUUCAUCACCUUCAUCUCAAUUCACCAGAGGUAUAUUGAAGGUCUGCUAGUGAAAACUUCCCUAUAAGGGGUUACAGGCACAGGGAGAAAAGAGUGCCAGCUGUCUCAGGGCUCAUGGUCCAGCGGAGAGACAACAUGCCCAUAUGCAAUUCCAAAUCAGAGCAACUGGAAUGGGUAUAAAAAUCAUGCCGUCUUGUAAUCUUUCUCUGGCCUCCCAAAGGUGGGCUUAUGACCCCUCAUCUGAACGCCUGUAACACACUGUAUUUGUGGCAAAGAAUGCCCAUCAUUAACCAAUAUCCAGCUUUCCCUUCUUCUUAGUAACAGAACUUCGCUUUUACUUGAGGUAACACCGUACACACUCAAAUAAUACAUUUCCUAUCAUCCUUUGCAGCUAGAUGUGGCCAUGCAGCCAAUUUCUGGCCGAUAAAAUGUGAGUGUAAGUCUGUGACACUUCUAGAAAGCUGCUUAAAGGAAGCUGAGUCAGCUGGGAGAAGUUCUCUUUUAUCUUUUCACAUUCUGCCAUGAGACAGCCUAGAAGGCAGAGGUGUUGGCUUUGUGCCUAAAAACUAUCUUGGACCAAUUGUUGACUCCGAGGAUGGAAGCCGUACACUGAGGAUAACAGAGCAGGAAAGCAGGAAGAAGGAUCUCUGAGAACUUUGUGGAGAUGCCAUUUCAGACCCGAGCACUUCUGUUGCCAGGGUUUAUCUUUUACAUGAGACAAACAUUUUAAAAGCUGUUUUGGUUUUUCUCUUAAAUGUAAGCAAACUUAAUUAUAACUAACACAACUGAUAUACAACCUAAGACACCAUGCUGUAAUUGCUUACUUAAUUCUCUGAUUUUCUACAUAUACAUACAGACUUUAAUUUCCUUAAUGAAAUAGAUCUUGUGCAUUUAGUCCUCCUUGUAAAGAUUUGUGGAUUUAAUUG